GCCGGAAUUCGGUGGCGAAGCGGCCCCUGGACAAGACUGACGCUCAGGUGCGAAAGCGUGGGGAGCAAACAGCCAUUAGAUACCCUGGUAGUCCACGCCGUAAACGAUGUCGACUUGGAGGUUGUGCCCUUGAGGCGUGGCUUCCGGAGCUAACGCGUUAAGUCGACCGCCUGGGGAGUACGGCCGCAAGGUUAAAACUCAAAUGAAUUGACGGGGGCCCGCACAAGCGGUGGAGCAUGUGGUUUAAUUCGAUGCAACGCGAAGAACCUUACCUACUCUUGACAUCCAGAGAACUUUCCAGAGAUGGAUUGGUGCCUUCGGGAACUCUGAGACAGGUGCUGCAUGGCUGUCGUCGGCUUGUGUUGUGAAAUGUUGGGUUAAGUCCCGCAACGAGCGCAACCCUUAUCCUUUGUUGCCAGCGGUCCGGCCGGGAACUCAAAGGAGACUGCCAGUGAUAAACUGGAGGAAGGUGGGGAUGACGUCAAGUCAUCAUGGCCCUUACGAGUAGGGCUACACACGUGCUACAAUGGCGCAUACAAAGAGAAGCGACCUCGCGAGAGCAAGCGGACCUCAUAAAGUGCGUCGUAGUCCGGAUCGCAGUCUGCAACUCGACUGCGUGAAGUCGGAAUCGCUAGUAAUCGUGAAUCAGAAUGUCACGGUGAAUACGUUCCCGGGCCCUUGUACACACCGCCCGUCACACCAUGGGAGUGGGUUGCUCCAGAAGUAGCUAGUCUAACCCGCAAGGGGGACGGGUUACCACGGAGUGAUUCAUGACUGGGGGUGAAGUCGUAACAAGUAACCA
rnacentral:rRNA from 1 species